ACAGAGGGUGCGAGCGUUGUUCGGAAUUACUGGGCGUAAAGCGCGCGCAGGCGGCCCUUUAAGUCCGUCGGUCAAAUGCCGGGGCUCAACCCCGUUGCAUGCCGAGGAUACUGGAGGGCUGGAGACACGUAGAGGCAAGCGGAAUUCCGGGUGUAGCGGUGGAAUGCGUAGAGAUCCGGAAGAACACCGGAGGCGAAGGCGGCCUGCUGGGCAGUAGCUGACACUGAGGCGCGACAGCGUGGGGAGCAAACAGGA
rnacentral:rRNA from 1 species